AUGGCAGCAUCCCAGAGGCCAACAGAAAGGGUGGUGUCGGUGUGCACCCCAACGACGGCGGAGACCACGCUCGUGUUCGAGAUCGCCAGGUACAGCCUGCACAAGGGCAUCGGCGCCGGCAAAUUCAUCCAGUCCAACCCCGUCUCCGUUGGCGGCUACGAAUGGUGCAUACGCUACUACCCCGACGGGGACGCGAGCAAGUAG
rnacentral:rRNA from 1 species